rnacentral:rRNA from 1 species
AUUGAACGCUGGCGGCAUGCUUUACACAUGCAAGUCGAACGGCAGCACGGACUUCGGUCUGGUGGCGAGUGGCGAACGGGUGAGUAAUACAUCGGAACGUACCCAGUAAUGGGGGAUAACUAUCCGAAAGGAUAGCUAAUACCGCAUACGCCCUACGGGGGAAAGAGGGGGAUCGCAAGACCUCUUGUUAUUGGAGCGGCCGAUGGCUGAUUAGCUAGUUGGUAGGGUAAAGGCCUACCAAGGCAACGAUCAGUAGCGGGUCUUAGAGGACGAUCCGCCACACUGGAACUGAGACACGGUCCAGACGCCUACGGGAGGCAGCAGUGGGGAAUCUUGGACAAUGGGCGCAAGCCUGAUCCAGCAAUGCCGCGUGCGCGAAGAAGGCCUUCGGGUUGUAAAGCGCUUUUGUCAGGGAGCAAAUCCUUGUGGCUAAUACCCACCGGGGAUGAGAGUACCUGAAGAAUAAGCACCGGCUAACUACGUGCCAGCCGCCGCAGUAAUAC